rnacentral:tRNA from 1 species
GGAGGGAUGGCAGAGUGGACGAUUGCGACGGUCUUGAAAACCGUAGUAGGCAACAGCCUACCGAGGGUUCGAAUCCCUCUCCCUCCGCCU